GGUUUGGUUCCCAACUAUCUGCAUCUUCCCCUCCUAUACUCUUCCAUGUGGCCUCCUCUUUAUUAACUGUGGAAAGUCUAUUCUGCAAGUCUUUGAGGUAACAGAUGUAGCUGUUAUCUUGGUGUGUUUAAGGGACCAGAUUUGGUUGCAGUAUUGACAAUUAAAGUGAACUUCUGACAGCCUUCAAGGACAACAAGAAACAGAGGCACAAUGCCUCACCAAUCCUUUUGAGUUCAUUGUCUUUUUCACCAUUUCUGAGGGCCAUUGCAGUUCUAUUGCCAGAAGCAGGAACCAAAGGAGACCUCUGAAAGCCCCGGACAAUUUCAGGUGACCAGAAUGAGACCUGCUAGGAUACCUCACUCCAGACAAGAUCCUACAAAAAGUGGCAGAAGUCAACAAAGGGUGAGAAUUCUCACCAAAGUCAUUUCUCCCAGAUCUCUGUCUGUAGGAAGGGUUUUUUUAAAGCCUGGUUUACUAUCUUGCAAUCCUCCAGCUGUGACUUGAGUAAUGUUGUUACUUCCAAGGAUCCGUCUGACAUUAGCUGACUUUAUGAAGCAUAAGCAUCAAGAUGAAAGACAAGACUUUUAAAAUAAAA